GAUUGAUACAUGGUGAUAUGGUUUGGCUGUGUCUCCACACAAAUCUCGUCUUGAAUUGCAGCUCCCAUAAUUCCCACCUGUUGUGGGAGGGACCCUGUGGGAGAUAAUUGAAUCACGGGGGCAGUUUCCCCCAUACUGUUCUCAUGGUAGUGAGUAAGUCUCACCAGAUCUGAUGGUUUUAUAAGGGGAAACCCCUUUGGCUUGGUUCUUAUUCUUUCUUUUGUCUGCUGCCAUGUCAGAUGUGCCUUUUGCCUUUUGCCAUAAUUGUGAGGCCUCCUCAGCCGUGUGGCACUUCCCACAGACAGGAACCAAAGCCAGCAGAACAAAGCAGCCCCAGAUGUGUUCUACUCUAUUAUCUGAAGUAAAUGAAAAUCAACCCUGAGGUAGAGAACCUCCUUCUACUACCAUCAAAGUCCUUGAUCUGUUUCCCAACAUGAAUUAACCUUUCCAUGUUUUCGUUACAUUUGAACAUCAGGAAUGUGUAGACGGAAGCAGUUCAUCCUGGGAGGUGAGAAUGAGCAUUGAAAGAGCCAUCCGUGAAACCGUAAGGCUGGGAAAGAGAAGUGAAGGGGCACAUGGAAGUGUUCAUCUCUGGGGCAGGGAAAAACAAUCCGGAGAAGAUGAGUCACACCUCAUUUGUAACCCAUGAAUGAAAAUCAAUACUGUUACUUAUCAUAAAUUACACUGAACAUAGUGCUUACACUUGAGUAUCAAUGCAGUAAAACCACUAUGAGCCAAUUGAUUGACUUUUCUAGAUCCCAAUUCUAUCAUUCAUCUUCUGGUAUUCAUCUUCUGGCUUAGCUACUAUUUCCUGGCACAGAUUCUUAAUAAAGAUCCUUUCUCCUUGGUCCCAGA
rnacentral:lncRNA from 1 species